rnacentral:rRNA from 1 species
GAUGAACGCUGGCGGCGUGCCUAAUACAUGCAAGUCGAGCGAACGGACGAGAAGCUUGCUUCUCUGAUUUUAGCGGCGGACGGGUGAGUAACACGUGGAUAACCUACCUAUAAGACUGGGAUAACUUCGGGAAACCGGAGCUAAUACCGGAUAAUAUUUUGAACCGCAUGGUUCAAAAGUGAAAGUCGGUCUUGCUGUCACUUAUAGAUGGAUCCGCGCUGCAUUAGCUAGUUGGUAAGGUAACGGCUUACCAAGGCAACGAUGCAUAGCCGACCUGAGAGGGUGAUCGGCCACACUGGGACUGAGACACGGUCCAGACUCCUACGGGAGGCAGCAGUAGGGAAUCUUCCGCAAUGGGCGAAAGCCUGACGGAGCAACGCCGCGUGAGUGAUGAAGGUCUUCGGAUCGUAAAACUCUGUUAUUAGGGAAGAACAUAUGUGUAAGUAACUGUGCACAUCUUGACGGUACCUAAUCAGAAAGCCACGGCUAACUACGUG